UUAGAUUAAGUUAUUAAGGGCGCACGGUGGAUGCCUUGGCACUAGAAGCCGAUGAAGGACGUUACUAACGACGAUAUGCUUUGGGUAGCUGUAAGUAAGCGUUGAUCCAGAGAUUUCCGAAUGGGGAAACCCAGCACAAGUUAUGUUGUGUUAUCGACAAGUGAAUUCAUAGCUUGUCAGAAGGCAGACCCGGAGAACUGAAACAUCUUAGUACCCGGAGGAAGAGAAAGAAAAUUCGAUUCCCUGAGUAGCGGCGAGCGAAACGGGAAGAGCCCAAACCAAUAAGCUUGCUUAUUGGGGUUGUAGGACACUCUAUACGGAGUUACAAAGGAAUAUAUUAAACGAAUCAUCUGGAAAGUUGAAUCAAAGAAGGUAAUAAUCCUGUAGUUGAAAAUAUAUUCUCUCUUGAGUGGAUCCUGAGUACGACGGAGCACGUGAAAUUCCGUCGGAAUCUGGGAGGACCAUCUCCUAAGGCUAAAUACUCUCUAGUGACCGAUAGUGAACCAGUACCGUGAGGGAAAGGUGAAAAGUACCCCGGAAGGGGAGUGAAAGAGAACUUGAAACCGUGUGCUUACAAGUAGUCAGAGCCCGUUAAUGGGUGAUGGCGUGCCUUUUGUAGAAUGAACCGGCGAGUUACGAUCUGAUGCAAGGUUAAG
rnacentral:rRNA from 1 species